rnacentral:lncRNA from 1 species
UAGAAGAGUAAAUUCAAUCCUUCUAUUCAGAUAGAUGGCAGUGGAUAUAGGGCUAAAGUUGGCUUCACAAAGACUUGAGUUCAAAUCUAACUUCAAAUACUUACUAGUUGUAUUACCCUGAGUAAAUCACAACUUCUAUUUGCCUUAAUUUCCUCAUCUAUAAAACAAAGAUAAUAAUAGCACACUCCCAGAGUUGUUAUGAGGAUAAAAUGAAGUAAUAUUUGUAAAGUGCUGUGCAAAUCAUUAAGUGAUAAAUGAUAGUUGUUAUUAUUGUUGUUAUCACUAUUAUAUUACCUCCUUGCCAUUUUAUGUUUUAAUUAAAACCUAACCUGGGAAUCAAGGAAGAUAACUGAUCACAGUGGACCAAACUGGACAGGGAAAAAAUGAAAGUAUAAAACAUGUGGAACCAAGAUGGUAGAGAAGAAUCAGGUCAAAAUCCUGGGACAUGGUUGCAGGAUGAGGAAGAACACUAGAAGACUCCAGGGCUUGGAGCCACAACAGAGUAGAGGACCCUGGUCACACUUCCAAGAGGUAAAAGAGUGGGGUUACUCACAGACCAGAGCAUAGGAACGGGGAGUAUUAAACACACCUCUCCUUAUGCCAUACCACCUUGGAAGAACAAACAGCAGAUAGAUCGCCAGUGCCAGCUCUGAAGGCAGCUACACAAAGAACUUGAAGCUUGGAAUAGUUCUACCUUCAUCUCAGUUACAGAACCCAACUUAAACAGGUUUUUAAACUUUAAAAAAAAUCAGGAAAAUGAGCAAACACCAAAAAAAGAAAUGCCACAUAUAAAGUUAUUUUGGUGACAGGGAAGACUCAGGAGAAGACAACAAAGUCAAUACUACUGCAUCCAAAGCCCCAAGAAAAAUAUGAAUUGCUCUCAAGUCCAAAAAGAAUUAAUGAAGGAGUUUAAAAAAUUUUUUUAAUUAAAUAAGAGAGGUAGAAGAAAAAAUAGGGAAAGAAAUGAGAGGGAUACAGGAAAAACAUGAAAAAAUAGUCAAUAUCUUGGUAAAAGAGGCACACAAAAAAUACUGAAGAAAUUAAUAGCUUAAAAAAAGAAUAGGCCAAUUGGUAAAAAAAAGGGGGGGGGGCACAAAAAUCCAAAGAAGAGAAAACUCUUUACAAAGCAGAAUUGCCCAAAUGGAAAAGGAGGUACCAAAACUCACUCAAGAAAAUCAUGCUUAAAAAUUAAAAUUGGGUAAAUGGAAGCUAAUGACUCCAUGAGGCAUCAAGAAACAAUCAAAGUCAAAAGAAUGGAAAAAAAAUAGGACCUUGAAAAUAAGUUCAGAAGAGAUAAUCUAAGAAUUAUUGGACUACCUGAAAGCCAUAAUCAAAAAAGAACUUAGACAUCAUCUUUCAAGAAAUUAUCAAGGGGGACUUCACAUGAGUCGAUGGGAAUAUGAUUGAGGACAUAGACUCUAAGUGAUCAUCCUAUUACAAAUAUUAAUAAUAUGAGAAUAGGUCUUGAUCAAUGACACAUGUAAAACCCAGUGGAAUUGUGUGUCAGCUAUGGGAGGGGGUUGGGAGUAGGGGAGGGAAAGAACAUGAAUCUUAUAACCAUGGAAAAAUAUUCUAAAUUAACUAAUUAAAUAAUUUUUUUAAGAAAAGAUUAUCAAGGUGGGGCAGCUGGAUGGCUCAGUGGAUUGAGAAUCAGGCCUAGAGAUGGGAGGUCCAGGGUUCAGAUUUGACCUCGGACAUUUCCUAGCUUUGUGACCCGGGGCAAGUCACUUAACCCCCAUUGCCUAGCUCUUACCACUCUUCUGCCAUGGUUUUGAUUCUAAGAUGAAAGGUAAGGGUUUAAAUAAAUAAAAAAAAAGAAAUUAUCA